rnacentral:rRNA from 1 species
UCAGUAACACGUAGCCAAUCUACCCUAUGGACGGGGCAUAACCUCGGGAAACUGAGGAUAAACCCCGCAUAGAUCAUUAUGCCUGGAACGGUUUAUGGGGCAAAUGAUUCGUCGCCGUAGGAUGGGACUGCGGCCUAUCAGCUUGUUGGUGAGGUAAUGGCCCACCAAGGCUAUUACAGGUACGGGCUCUGAAAGGAAAAGCCCGGAAAUGGGUACUGAGACACGGACCCAGGUCCUAUGGGGCGCAGCAGGCGAAAAAACUUUGCAAUGUGCGCAAGCACGACAAGGUUAAUCCGAGUGAUUCCUGCUAAAGGAAUCUUUUGUUAGUUAUAAUACCACUAAUGAAUAAGGGGUGGGCAAGUUCUGGUGUCAGCCGCCGCGGUAAAACCAGCACCUCAAGUGGUCAGGAGGAUUAUUGGGCCUAAAGCAUCCGUAGCCUGCUUUGUAAGUUUUCGGUUAAAUCCAUCUGCUCAACAGAUGGGCCGCCGAAAAAACUGCAAAGCUAGGGAGUGGGAGAGGUAGACGGUACUCCAUAGGAAGGGGUAAAAUCCUUUGAUCUAUUGAUGUCCCCCUGUGGCGAAGGCGGUCUACCGGAACACGUUCCACGGUGAGGGAUGAAAGCUGGGGGAGC